rnacentral:rRNA from 1 species
GCGAGCGUUAUCCGGAAUUAUUGGGCGUAAAGAGCGCGCAGGUGGUUGAUUAAGUCUGAUGUGAAAGCCCACGGCUUAACCGUGGAGGGUCAUUGGAAACUGGUCGACUUGAGUGCAGAAGAGGGAAGUGGAAUUCCAUGUGUAGCGGUGAAAUGCGUAGAGAUAUGGAGGCACACCAGUGGCGAAGGCGGCUUCCUGGUCCAGCACCGACGUUCAGGCACGAAAGCGUGGGGAGCAAACAGG